AGUCGAACGAAGUAGCAAUACUUAGUGGCAGACGGGUGAGUAACAUGUAGGUAUCUGCCCUUUGGCCUGGAAUAACACGAGGAAACUUGUGCUAAUACCGGAUAAGUCUUUACGGAGAAAGCUUUAUGCACCAUUGGAUGAGCCUGCACUUGAUUAGUUUGUUGGUGGGGUAAUGGCCUACCAAGACUGUGAUCAAUAGCUGAUUUGAGAGGAUGAUCAGCCACAUUGGGACUGAGACACGGCCCAAACUCCUACGGGAGGCAGCAGUGGGGAAUCUUGCACAAUGGAGGAAACUCUGAUGCAGCGAUGCCGCGUGAGUGAAGAAGGCCCUUGGGUUGUAAAGCUCUUUCGUCGGGGAAGAAAAUGACUGUACCCGAAUAAGAAGGUCCGGCUAACUUCGUGCCAGCAGCCGCGGUAAUACGAAGGGACCUAGCGUAGUUCGGAAUUACUGGGCUUAAAGAGUUCGUAGGUGGUUGAAAAAGUUAGUGGUGAAAUCCCAGAGCUUAACUCUGGAACUGCCAUUAAAACUUUUCAGCUAGAGUAUGAUAGAGGAAAGCAGAAUUUCUAGUGUAGAGGUGAAAUUCGUAGAUAUUAGAAAGAAUACCAAUUGCGAAGGCAGCUUUCUGGAUCAUUACUGACACUGAGGAACGAAAGCAUGGGUAGCGAA
rnacentral:rRNA from 1 species